rnacentral:rRNA from 1 species
AUAUGCCUACAUCAUAGUGUUAAUACAUCCUACCCCAUUAGAACUUUGCAGUUAAGUGCACUCAGGCUAGACUAGUACUGGGAUGGGUGACCGCCUGGGAAGUUAUAGUUUUUUACAUGCC